AAGAUUUUUAAAGCAAUUUGUGUCUUUAAAGAAAAGAUCAUCAAUUUCUGAUGCUGUUCACAACCACAAAGCCUGAGAAGGUGAAGGGAAUGCCGUUAAAUACCACUGAAGCUUAGAAAAAACGUUUCCAGACCUCAUUCAUUUCCUCUGUCAGUAAGGAAAUACUGUGUUCAGACAAUAAGAAAAGAAACCAGUAAUAGAAAUUGCUGCAAAUUCUGUUUGUGUUGAUCCUUCAAGUUCAAACCUUUCAUUUCAUGGGCUGUAGCUGUUAAGAAGAGAGCUGGGGGAGCCAGAUUGUUCAUUUCUAUAGUUAAAGAGAUACCCAGUCAUUGAAAUAUAUGCCCUUCUCUGUGACUGACAGCCGCUAUGAUUGGAUGUUAGCAAUGGGCCCCGUGGAAGAUGAAUUCAGACGUAAACUGAAGCGCCAAUAGACUACAGGCCAUCUUAUCGUGCUUAAAAGUGGAAAAACUUUGCUGCAGUUCCAAUACAAGGUUGAAUGAAACAGACCACUGCCUGCCUAAUCCUUCAUGUGUCAGGACUUCCUUCAUGCCAUCUCAGUCAUUGUCCC